AUUGAACGCUGGCGGCGUGCUUAACACAUGCAAGUCGAACGAGAACGGAAUAUAGCUUGCUAUAUUUGUCAGCUAAGUGGCGCACGGGUGAGUAAUGUAUAGAUAACCUGCCCUUAAGAAAGGAAUAACAGUUGGAAACGACUGCUAAUGCCCUAUAUGCCUUUAAUACAUAAGUAUGCAAGGGAAACGCUUUAGUGCUUAAGGAUGGGUCUGUAUGGUAUCAGCUUGUUGGUGAGGUAAUGGCUCAUCAAGGCUAUGACGCCUAACUGGUUUGAGAGGAUGGUCAGUCACACUGGAACUGAGACACGGUCCAGACUCCUACGGGAGGCAGCAGUGGGGAAUAUUGCACAAUGGACGAAAGUCUGAUGCAGCAACGCCGCGUGGAGGAUGACACAUUUCGGUGCGUAAACUCCUUUUAUAUAGGAAGAUAAUGACGGUACUAUAUGAAUAAGCACCGGCUAACUCCGUGCCAGCAGCCGCCGUAA
rnacentral:rRNA from 1 species